UAUCUAUAGUCUUUUCUAAUUUGUUUAAAAUUAGAUAUCAAAUGUAUGGAAAACCCACAAAAAUAUCUCUUUGUCUAUGUAAAGGAGAACGAAAUCUGUGGCCUGUGAAGGAGGUUUACUUCCAUGGAUUUCAUUUUUUACUCUAUCCAGUUUUGAUUUUUCUCUACUGUCUAUAAAGAGAUACUAAGGAGAUACCGUGACCAGUCCUAUGUUUCAGUAGACCUCCUUUUUGUGCAUAAAGAAGAUGCAUAAAUCCAGAAGACAUUGCUAUGGUUGGACAAAGGAUGAAAGGCUGAGGAGUUUGGAGAGACUGAAAGAAAGGAGAGGUCACAGAGGGAGUUGCAUGGUCAUUGAGGAAAUUUUGAAGACUACAUCCAGUUUUGCUAACCAAAAGCUAAUUAGGCUGAUAGCUAUGGAAGAAGCAGAGCAGCGUCAACUGGGAAAUGUGCUUGCUGAACUCAGCGCCUGGGAGGAGCGGGAUCAGAGAGAAGAGCUGGAAGAGGAGACUCUGACAUACAUGUGGAAGCCGGAGACUCCUUCUUCUACUCUGUCAAGGUCUUCCUAAGUGCAUGGAAACAGUGAGAGUAAAAAGAAAGUGAUAAUUUACGUUUACUUAGUAUUUAUUCUUUCAUGGCACCUGCCCUACAAAUCUCCAACAUUUCAGCAAAUUGACUUAUUUAUUCCAGUAUCUUGAACACUAAACACCUCUUGAGAAAAUACCACACUUUGGAGUA
rnacentral:lncRNA from 1 species